rnacentral:rRNA from 1 species
AGUCGAACGGCAGCAUGCGUAACCACUUGUGGUUAUGUGAUGGCGAGUGGCGGACGGGUGAGUAACGCGUAGGGAUCUGCCCUUUAGUGGGGGACAACUCGAGGAAACUCGAGCUAAUACCGCAUGACCUCUAAGGAGGAAAGCUGCCUGGGAAACCAGGUGGCGCUAGAGGAGGAGCCUGCGUCCGAUUAGCUAGUUGGUGGGGUAAAGGCCUACCAAGGCGACGAUCGGUAGCUGGUCUGAGAGGACGAGCAGCCACACUGGGACUGAGACACGGCCCAGACUCCUACGGGAGGCAGCAGUGGGGAAUAUUGGACAAUGGGGGAAACCCUGAUCCAGCAAUGCCGCGUGUGUGAAGAAGGCUUUCGGGUUGUAAAGCACUUUCAGUGGGGAGGAAGGGCUCUGUUUUAAUAGAGCAGAGAGGAGACGUUACCCACAGAAGAAGCACCGGCUAACUCUGUGCCAGCAGCCGCGGUAAGACAGAGGGUGCGAGCGUUAAUCGGAAUUACUGGGCGUAAAGGGCACGUAGGUGGUUAGAUAAGUUAUAGGUGAAAGCCCUGGGCUCAACCGAGGGAUUGCCUAUAAAACUGUGUGACUAGAGUAUGGUAGAGGGUAGUGGAAUUUCCGGUGUAGCGGUGAAAUGCG